rnacentral:rRNA from 1 species
CCAAUAAACCUAGCCCACCUAACCACCACCCACACCCCCCCCUUACAAAUUAAAAUAUUUUAUUUUGCCUAGUACAGACGAUCAAAAAGUUAAUUGGAGCAAUAAAUAUGUACCGCAAGGGAAUGAUGAAAUAAAAAUGAAAUAACACUUAAGCAUAAAAAAGUAAAGAUUUACCCUUGUACCUUUUGCAUCAUGGUUUAACUAGUCUAAUUAGGCAAAAAGAUUUAUAGUCUAACCCCCCGAAACUGAGUGAGCUACUUUAGGACAGCUUAAUGAGCAAACCCGUCUCUGUUGCAGAAGAGUGGGGAGAUCUUAAAGUAGAGAUGAUAUAUCUAGCAAACUUAGCGAUAGCUGGUUAUUCAGGAAAAGAAUUUUAGUUCAACCUAAAGUUAAUUUAAUUAUAUUAAAUAUAGACUUAACUUUAGAGCUACUCAAAUAAGUAACAGCCUAUUUGAGACAGGAUACAGCCUCCACUUACGGGUAACAACAGCCUUACAAUAACCAAGUAGGCCUAAAAGCAGCCACCUUUAAAAAAGCGUCAAAGCUUCACUGCUAAAGACAAUAAUUGUUUAAAUUUUUAAGAACCCUACAACAGUACUGAAUGAUCCAAUAAUUCUAUAGGACCCCCUAUGUUAAAACUAGUAAUCAAGAAGCCACCUUCUCUUAUAUGCAAAUGUAGGCCAGAACGGAAAACUCACUGACACCUAAUAAUCAUAAACUAAAGUUAUACCUUAUCUAGAAGACCUAACUUUAAUAGCUAUUAACCUUACACAAGAGCAUUAAAAGAAAGAUUAAAAGAAAAAGAAGGAACUCGGCAAACUCUAAUUCCGCCUGUUUACCAAAAACAUCGCCUCCUGCUAAUCUAUAGGAGGUCCAGCCUGCCCAGUGACCUAGUUUAACGGCCGCGGUAUCCUAACCGUGCGAAGGUAGCGUAAUCACCUGUUUUUUAAUUGAAGACCUGUAUGAAAGGCAUCACGAGAAUAGCACUGUCUCCUUUUUCUAAUCAGUAAAACUAAUCUCCCCGUGAAAAAGCGGGGAUACUCACACAAGACGAGAAGACCCUUUGGAGCUUAAGACAAAGUAAUAUAUUGCAAACAUUUUUCCACAUCUAUUUACAAGUCUUUGGUUGGGGCAACCACGGAGCAAAAAGAAACCUCCAAGUUGAACGGAAUAUUCCUAAACAAAAAGCCACAUCUUCAUGUAUUAAUAAAUUAACAAUCGACCCAAUACUUUGAUUAUCGAACUAAGUUACCCCAGGGAUAACAGCGCAAUCCACUUCAAGAGUUCAUAUCGACAAGCGGGCUUACGACCUCGAUGUUGGAUCAAGGUAUCCCAGUGGUGCAGCCGCUACUAAAGGUUCGUUUGUUCAACGAUUAAAACCUCACGUGAUCUGAGUUCAGACCGGAGCAAUCCAGGUCAGUUUCUAUCUGUAAUUAGAGCUAUUUCCAGUACGAAAGGACAGAAAUAGCGCGGUCAAUAAGACACUUACACCGCCUAAACAACUUAUGACCAUCACU